rnacentral:lncRNA from 1 species
AAUGGCAUCAAUGAAGACGAAGUGACCAUUGCACCCUUUCCGACAAAUCUUGGGGCUUGCUUUACAAAUCCAACCCUUCGAAGUAGCCCUCCUCCCUCCAAUCUAAUGGUUUAUGACAGAUGGUUGAAGGUUUGAAGGUCUGCUUUUACCGUUCCCCUAAUUAUUUUACAACGAUUAUGGGAUACAAUUGUUGUUGGGCUGAAUUUUUCAAUUUUUCUCAUCCUUAGGUUUGCAAGAUGGGUCUGCUUUAGUUGAUUUGAAGUUGAUGACAUUACCAGAAUUUGGUUUCCUUAUGUAGGUUUAUAUUGAAGUUGAUGGCAUUACCAGGUUCAUAUACGAGAAUCCUUUCAGAAAAGAGAUAGUAAAAUCUACAUAUAUGUGAAGAAAAUCAUCAAGCUCAUUCAUGAGCAAUUAUUGUGACGUAUUCAGGUCUUUUUAUAACUUUUUCUACAUCUCAAAAUCAAUAAUUCAUACACUUGAAGCUCCUAGGCUUUGAUUAGUUAUGAUGUUUGUGGGCUCAAAAUCGUAAAUUUGUUGGCAUCUUCAAUAUUGAGGACUAUAGAGGCAUAUAAGAAAAACAUUAUUUGUUUAACUGAAAAAGGUCUAACCAUGUUCUUUUUGGAACAAAAACAGUUCUUUUUGGAACAAAAACAAAUAGAUUAUUAGAUCGUCAGGAUUAAAAAUUAGAGAUUUUGAAUGGUCAACAUAAAACCCAAAUUAUCUUGACUUUCAUUUCAUAUACUUUGAGCUUAACAUGUACUUUUGCCAUAUGUGUGCAACUAGGAUGAAGAUGAUGUUGGACACAGGCUGCAGAGACCAUUUCCAUAUGUAAAAAGCUUGCACGCAAGCAAGAAGAAUCCCAUUAAAGCUACUAAAAGAAUUCAAAAGGCAGAAACGGAGAAAGUGAAGGUGGAUCAUCUAAAUUAACUCUUUCUAGAGUUGGUGGAUGUGCUUGAAGUCACAUAACAAAACAAUUGGAAAGUCUCGAUAUAACUAUUAGAGUUGACAAGGACAUGCUUGAUCAACUCAAGUCUGUUAGGAAGGAGAAGGCAGCUUUGCUAUUCAAGUCAUAUAUGGGACAGGUAUAUUUUAUAGACUACAUCAAUACCAUGAAGAGUUGUGUGUCAACGGUUAUUUGAUUUACGAUUUAUAUUCUUAGCAUCACCGAAAAUUUAUAAUGUUGAUAUUAAACCCUCUUUUGCAUUUUCCUAGCAGAUGGUUCUUCAAUUGUUGUUAAAGAUGUCAAUUUCACUUGUAUUUUUUGUAUUCGUAUUAAAUAUAUGAUUUGUUUUUGAAAUUCAAUUGACUACCUUUAUUAAUCUUACUUCUAUUGAACAAAUUUUGUGUUGUAUCAACUAAAAUAUCUAAUACAAGAGUUUAUCCUAAAUUACAAGAAAACGAAGGAAGUCAUUGAGGUUGUCUCGAGUAACAUAAUACAGAGCCUUACUUUAAAAAGAUAACUGUUUUUCUAUUAUUGAAGGUGGCCCCUGUUUUUUAUGUUGAGAUAUUCGCCUGCAGGUUCAUUUACAAUGUUCAUAUUCAUUUUGUUUUCUGCACUUUUAUCAAUAUAUUUCAUAGAGAACAAACUUUGUUUGUGGACGGCCCUUUGUUGGUUUUGGGUGCCUACUCAGUUAUGAAUAGAUUCACACGGUGGCGGAUAAAUUCUUUGGUCUUCUUAUAGCAAUUUGAUACUGGGUACCGAUACCUGUUUUUUCUGUUUAUCGGUAUGUUUGACUACUACCGUUACCGUACUGUUAUCGGUACCCAUUUUUCCCGAAAAUCGGUUUGGUACCAUGCUCAUUCCUAAAUUCCUCUUCAUGCAACAGGCUAUUAAAGUGUCUUUUUACAUAUUAUCUUGAUUAAAAUUUACCAAACCAUUGGUUAUUUGGAUGAAUUUGCGACUAAGAGUUGUAAUUGUUAGCUAAGAGUAUGUUUGGGAUUGUUUUUUUAUUGCUCAUUUUGAAUGGUACCUGCUGCUACAUGUUUAGCCUCUAAAACAUAAUUUUGAUUUUCAAUACACAGGUUGUGUAGUCCCCAAUCGUGGAAGUCUUGAAGCUAUAAACAUCCAGUGCUGCAUCAAUUUUGACAUGUGGUGAUAUUAGGUUAUGGAUGACGAAGACAAUUGGUGGGGUGGGGGGUGGGGGGGAGAAAUCACGGUAUUUGGUUGUGUGGGAUUAACUGUGAGGAUAUAAAUGUCUAUGCUACACAAAAUGUCCAAGAUACCCUUUUUACUUAAUGAUUUGAGGAAAGAUAGUGUAAUAUUUACAUAAAUGCCAUGAUCCUUCACAACC